rnacentral:rRNA from 1 species
AUUGAACGCUGGCGGCAGGCCUAACACAUGCAAGUCGAGCGGAUGAAGGGAGCUUGCUCCUGGAUUCAGCGGCGGACGGGUGAGUAAUGCCUAGGAAUCUGCCUUGUAGUGGGGGAUAACGUCCGGAAACGGGCGCUAAUACCGCAUACGUCCUGAGGGAGAAAGUGGGGGAUCUUCGGACCUCAUGCUAUCAGAUGAGCCUAGGUCGGAUUAGCUAGUUGGUGGGGUAAAGGCCUACCAAGGCGACGAUCCGUAACUGGUCUGAGAGGAUGAUCAGUCACACUGGAACAGAGACACGGUCCAGACUCCUACGGGAGGCAGCAGUGGGGAAUAUUGGGCAAUGGGCGAAAGCCUGAUCCAGCCAUACCGCGUGUGUGAAGAAGGUCUUCGGAUUGUAAAGCACUUUAAGUUGGGAGGAAGGGCAGUACGUUAAUACCUUGCUGUAUUGACGUUACCAACAGAAUAAGCACCGGCUAACUUCGUG